AUGGCUGGGCUUGUCAUCUCCAAGGCUGGUGGAGGCUUCUCCAUCACCAAGUCAUGUGCGUCUGGACGUCCCAAGGCUGCUGCAGCUGGACGUCCCAAGGCGACUCCGGCGGCCAGAGCGGCUGAACUGCUUGUGUGCCGCACCCUAGGCAUCGUCAAAGAUGGGCAAGAUGUCACAGCUGCUGCCCUGGACGCUUUUGCCGAGCGCUUCAAGGAGCAGCUGCCGCCAGAUGUGAUCAUUGCCAUGAGAGGGUUGUUCAAGCUUGGCUGCAACAUCGCUACGGGCGUGGAGGAGGCCCUCAUUGCGCAUGGAGGAGAUGGUGCUCUCGACCUGGACGGCGGCACCGCGGCUCAGCUAGCUGAUGCUUGA
rnacentral:rRNA from 1 species